rnacentral:tRNA from 1 species
GUCUCAGGUUCACAGUGGUUAGUGCACAGCCCCGGAUAGGUUGAGACGCGGGUUCGAUUCCCGCCUGAGAUG